UAAUACGUAGGGUGCGAGCGUUAAUCGGAAUUACUGGGCGUAAAGCGUGCGCAGGUGGUUGUUUAAGACAGAUGUGAAAUCCCCGGGCUUAACCUGGGAACUGCGUUUGUGACUGGACAGCUAGAGUGCGGCAGAGGGGGGUGGAAUUCCACGUGUAGCAGUGAAAUGCGUAGAGAUGUGGAGGAACACCGAUGGCGAAGGCAGCCCCCUGGGCCAGCACUGACGCUCAUGCACGAAAGCGUGGGGAGCAAACAGG
rnacentral:rRNA from 1 species